rnacentral:rRNA from 1 species
CCGUAGCCCAAGAGAUCGGGAUAACACCUGGAAACAGAUGCUAAUACCGGAUAACAACAGAUGAUGCCUAUCAACUGUUUAAAAGAUGGUUCUGCUAUCACUCUUGGAUGGACCUGCGGUGCAUUAGCUAGUUGGUAGGGUAACGGCCUACCAAGGCGAUGAUGCAUAGCCGAGUUGAGAGACUGAUCGGCCACAUUGGGACUGAGACACGGCCCAAACUCCUACGGGAGGCAGCAGCA